rnacentral:misc_RNA from 1 species
GACCAAUCUAGCAUAAGUACUAUAAAUUAUAGUUCACAAUCUAGGAUACUUUAUUAGGUAUGAUCUAGCUAAGCAGACUGUCACUUUUGUUUGUUUUCAUGGAUUAGGAUGAGAUAUUAAUGAAAGUGGAUUAGUGAGUCUCAUACCAUCUGACAUUAUGAUAUUACGACAAACAUAUUGGGCGCUUAUAAAAUAAGUAAGUCGAACCAGUGACACAUAGAUGACAUGUACAUGG